rnacentral:rRNA from 1 species
CCAGACUCCUACGGGAGGCAGCAGUGGGGACUCUUCCGCAAUGGGCGCCCGCCUGACGGCGCCCCGCCGCGUGCUCGCCUGAAGGCCUUCGGGUUGUAAAGCUCUGUUGACAGGGACGCAUAAGCAAUGCGACUCGUUUUGUGUCUGACGGUACCUGUUUAGAAAGCUCCGGCUAACUACGUGCCAGCAGCCGCGGUAAUCAGGAGGGCGCGCGCGUUAAUCGGAAUUACUGGGCGUAAAGCGCGCGUAGGCUGUUGUGUAAUGUGGGGGUGAAAUCCCACGGCUCAACCGUGGAACAGCCCUUGAUACUGCGCGACUUGAAUCCGGGAGAGGGUGGCGGAAUUCCAGGUGUAGGAGUGAAAUCCGUAGAUAUCUGGAGGAACAUCAGUGGCGAAGGCGGCCACCUGGACCGGUAUUGACGCUGAGGCGCGAAAGCGUGGGGAGCAAACAGGAUUAGAUACCCGCGUAA